CCUAACACAUGCAAGUCGAGCGCAGGAAGCAAGUUGAUCCCCUUCGGGGGUGACGCUUGUGGAAUGAGCGGCGGACGGGUGAGUAACACGUGGGCAACCUGCCUGUAAGACUGGGAUAACCCCGGGAAACCGGGGCUAAUACCAGAUAAUACUUUCUUUUGCAUAAAGGAAAGUUGAAAGGCGGCUUCGGCUGUCACUUACAGAUGGGCCCGCGGCGCAUUAGCUAGUUGGUGAGGUAACGGCUCACCAAGGCGACGAUGCGUAGCCGACCUGAGAGGGUGAUCGGCCACACUGGGACUGAGACACGACCCAGACUCCUACGGGAGGCAGCAGUAGGGAAUCUUCCGCAAUGGACGAAAGUCUGACGGAGCAACGCCGCGUGAGUGAUGAAGGUUUUCGGAUCGUAAAACUCUGUUGUUAGGGAAGAAC
rnacentral:rRNA from 1 species